rnacentral:lncRNA from 1 species
GGCUGUCAUGGCGUCGCCCUUCAGUGGGGCACUACAGCUGACCGACCUGGAUGACUUCAUCGGGCCGUCUCAGAGUUGCAUCAAGCCGGUGACGGUGGCUAAGAAGCCUGGAAGUGGGAUAGCCAAGAUCCACAUCGAAGAUGAUGGCAGUUACUUCCAAGUGAACCCAAUUUUGCUCGCCUGCAGGAUGGAAGAAGCCAGAAGCUGGAGAAGGCCAAGGUCUCCCUGAACGACUGCCUGGCCUGCAGUGGCUGUGUCACUUCAGCAGAGACGAUACUCAUCACCCAGCAGAGUCACGAGGAACUGCGGAAGGUUCUAGAUGCUAAUAAGGUGGCAGCACCGGGUCAGCAGCGGCUCGUGGUCGUGUCCGUCUCACCGCAGUCUAGAGCGUCACUGGCUGCCAGGU